rnacentral:rRNA from 1 species
GGUGACGAAGCGACGCCGCGUGUGGGAUGAAGGCCUUCGGGUUGUAAACCACUGUCGGGAGUUAAGAAUUGUAGGAAUGCUAAUAGUAUCUCUACUUGACUAAGGCUCCGGAGGAAGCCACGGCUAACUCUGUGCCAGCAGCCGCGGUAAUACAGAGGCGGCAAGCGUUGUUCGGAAUUAUUGGGCGUAAAGAGCAUGUAGGCGGCUAUGUAAGUCGGUUGUGAAAGCCUUCCGCUUAACGGAAGAAUGGCGGUCGAAACUGCAUGGCUUGAGUGCGGGAGGGGAGAGUGGAACUUCUGGUGGAGCGGUGAAAUGCGUAGAUAUCAGAAGGAACGUCGGCGGCGAAAGCGACUCUCUAGACCGUAACUGACGCUGAGUGUGCGAAAGCUAGGGGAGCAAACGGGAUUAGAUACCCCGGUAGUCCUAGCCGUAAACGAUGGGCACUAAGUAGAGGGGUUU